rnacentral:rRNA from 1 species
AUGGAGGAGGACGGCGGGCCGCCUAUCCACCUCGAGAACGACGGCCAGGACACGCCUCCCGAGUCGAUCCUCCUCGACGUCCGGGGCUACGUCGACGCCCGCACCAACGCCUACGCGUACCUCCCGGCGGUCCUCCUCAGCGUCACCCGCGAGGUCCGCGGCGACAAGCACCUCGAGUACUUCGUCUACCAGGCCGCCGGCGCCACAUCGACGCUCCGCCUGCUCCCCGACCCCCGUCCCCUCGAGUGGAUGCACGUCGACGAGCGAGAGAGGUUCUGUUACUUCCGCCCGAGCAAGGUGCUCGCGAUCGGAGGCGAACGCGGCUCCAUGGCCUGGGCCGACCUGCGCAAGGGCAUCCUGACCUGCGCCCUGCUCGGGCUGGACGAUGCCAACGGCGCCGUGCUUGGCCACAUCCCGCUGCCACAAGCCGAGCGCAAGGGCAGGUCAGAGGACGUCUGGGGGUGGGACGUCGCCAUCGUGCAAGGCCGCAUCAAGUUCUUCGAGAUGCGAUUCAAGUUAAAGGGCCAGGGCCUCACCAGCACCACCGCCUUGGUUACCAAAUGUUGGAAAUCCACGGCAUGGGAGAAGGCUGAUCCCUGUCAGCAAUGGCGCAAGGACUGCGGGCUCAACAUUUUCAAGGUGCCGGUGGGGAUGAGCCACCCGGAGUUGUCCUCUCAUCUCCAUGACAUGGGGAAGCUCAAUGGAAGAAGCCAACCCGCCAUCUGCCUACACGAAGAAGAUGUCGUUUACAUCAUGGUCAGGGCUGAAAGGAACCCUGACCUGAAAUUUCACGAAGAAAAUGCCGGCAACGGAAUGGCCGAGAGCCGCAGAGCAUGGAUCCUCGCCAUCGACGUGAGGAAGAAGACGCUGCGAGAAGUGGCCACUUUGGACGCGGGAAGGACGGACGCAUUGGAGUUUUCCUUACCUUCAGAGUGGGAUAUCCAGGUACAGUAUAUGAGCUGCAUUGAGUCCUCCAACAGCAACAGGUAA